rnacentral:rRNA from 1 species
AUGAACGCUAGCGACAGGCCUAACACAUGCAAGUCGAGGGGCAUCGGGGUGUAGCAAUACGCUGCCGGCGACCGGCGGAUGGGUGAGUAACGCGUAUGCAACCUACCUUCAGCAGGGGGAUAGCCCGUUGAAAGACGGAUUAAUACCCCGUAACACAGGGGCUCCGCAUGGAGAUUAUUGUUAAAGGGAUGCUUCCUUCGGGGAGUAUUCUGGCUGAAGAUGGGCAUGCGUUCCAUUAGGUAGUUGGUUGAGGUAACGGCUCACCAAGCCUGCGAUGGAUAGGGGAACUGAGAGGUUGGUCCCCCACACUGGUACUGAGACACGGACCAGACUCCUACGGGAGGCAGCAGUGAGGAAUCUUGGUCAAUGGACGGAAGUCUGAACCAGCCAUGUCGCGUGAAGGAGGACGGCCCUAAGGGUUGUAAACUUCUUUUGCAGGGGAAUAAAGUAUUCCACGAGAUGGGAUAUUGCAAGUACGCUGCGAAUAAGGAUCGGCUAACUCCGUG